CUCGGAGACUGCGUUCGAGAGGAUCGAUAAUACGCGGUUGCAGCCUCGCGCAACACGAAACUGCUUUUACUUGUCGACGACACGCGAUGAUCCGCUCUUAAGGGACUUGGCUCUCUGAUCUCCCGUUCGAGAGCUAAUUAUCUCUGACCAACACGUAAUGUUUCGGCCGAGAAACGGUCUUAGAAUCACGUGGCGCUAAUAAUGCCGGAAACGUGUCCCUGAAGAGUCGUUGGGGGACGGUUCCGCGAGAAAACGUUGCGUGACUCUCGUUACGAGGUCGGUUCUUCGACGUCGGAGCGUGGGCUGGUUCGUUUGUGUUCUCUUCUUUUGAAUCUCUGAGAAAAUUUGCUGACAGAAAAGCGGAGAGAAUGUGGAAUAACCUAGAACUCGUUCCUUCAAAAGGGUCCACUACGUCGUUGAUGGCACCCAUGUAUUCUUAAUGGAUCCACUUAACAAGUCGAAUUACGAGCAGAUGAUGUUGACAGCAGCUCUAAAAUUGUGCAGAGACCAUGUUGUUCUGUCAAUCAUUAUUGAAUGACAAAACGAUUUACAAGCUGUACAUAUGCCGUGACGUGGAAUAUUUGCUGGUCAAUCAAUAAUAUGGGGUCGUCCAUCAUUAACUGAUCCAUUCGGAUGAAAUCUCUUCAAAAUUUACGUGCAGAAAACGGAGAUAGGCGUUUCAUAAAAGGAGGGAAAGGUAUUAAAAUUAACGAUUAAGAUAAUUUUUAACUGCCGUCUUAUAAUUUUUCUGACAUUAUUAGGACCUGGUGAAAUACAGAGCACCAUUAUGAAUGGACUACUUUUUAUCUUUAUUCUCGAAGAAAAAAUCUAUCUUGAAAGGAUUGAAAACAGGAAACCAAUAUAAAAUUUAACAAUGCAAGUUCUGACCCUUGUUGCGUAUAAUUAAUGUACGAAUUGCAGUAAUUUAUGAAUGAAUAAUAUCAGUGAAUUAACAAGUGUAUAAUUGCAGUUUAUAAACUUCUCUUUUAUAACGUUGCAAUUUGUAAUUUGCAAAAUCUUGUAAAAUUUCAUUCUUUCUCAUUGAAUGAAACCUGUUAUUAGUAACUUCUAAUUUGUAACUUGUAAACUUCCAUUUUACAAAAGGCUUCAGGUAGUAUGAGGUCGACUGCAAAGUUGCUGCUUAACCGCGCAUAAUUAAAAACGUUUAACGAAGUGCGAUACAGAAGAAGUUUCAUAUAGUCCCUUUGCGGUUAUCGAUUUACUAGUCUCUCCACUCCACACCGUUAUUGUAUAUUCCAUGAGAAGUUUGCGGCAACAUCCAUUACGAAAGUCGACGCGAUCGGUGCCAUUUAGAAUACAGAUUUACGAGCGGCAAUCAAUAUCGUUACGAGAACGUUAAGGAUUUUCGUACACGCCCGCACAUGAAGCGCAGACCCUGACAAUGAGCGUCUAUUCACCAGCUCUAAGCAUCCAAAGGUCCUUGAACCUUCGUUUCUCCCGGCUGUUUACUCUGGAUCACGUGAAAUCGAUCCACUUUUAAUUUGUACCAAUUAGCUGGAACAACGAGAACGCGGUACACAAGCCGACAGCAGACAGUCGUUGGCCCAAUGAAAUAGUUACGAGGUCGUGACUAGUUGUGUUGAGCGUGUUCGUGACUGGCUGCUGUGUAUUUCUCAAUUUCAACCGUCGUGAGCUGAGCUCUUCAAUUCAAUUAGCCAGCUCGCGUAAAACUCGACCGAGUAUUACGCCGAUAAACGUGCUGGUUAAACCUGCGCCACGAUUUGCAAAUUUAUGAACUUUUCUACCUCGGUGAGCGGUAGAUAAUUGAUAUUACGAGAUACUCCAUUGAGCUUAGAAAUAUGGGAGAAUAAUUUUCAUAGAUUUCUCAUGCACUUGGCGAAGGAAAAGUAACAUUAUACUGUGCUUAGGAAGAGAGAGCUUUCUAGCAACUAAUUAUUGGAGAGUAACUUUCAUUGAUUCUUCGAGAGAUGAAAAGAAUAAUAAGAAAAAUGCGAGAAGAAACGGUGAAUAGAAGAAAGCGACAUUAAGAAGGAAUAAAUCUUUCGAAGGAUGAAUUUUCCUAGGAAAAUGUACUUAUUUUUAAUACAUAGCGCUGCUCAGAAGAUCAACUAGUACGUUCGCGAUAAGCAUAUGAAUAGGUACAAUGUCUUUAUUGAAAGGCCUGGAGAAUGGGUUGCUCGUAGCAUCUCCGUUUCAAUAAUUCACGACUAUACGAGCAAGGAAAGAUACGGCGAUGGAAAGGAUGUUGGUGGGUCCAAAUAUGGGAUACUGCAAUUACGCAGGACGCGAGUAUUAUUACGUUACAUAACCAAACGAGCAUAGGCACGUCACGAGGUUCUGACUUACGAUUUUCCAUGGAUAAAGACCAAGAGAGAGGCAGCAAAUUAACCACCCAUCGAACUUAACUUUCAGACGUAUCAUCAAUUUUUAUGAUACGACGCGCGUUACACAUUGCGCAAUGACGACGCCUCAGAAAUCAAUCAGCCUAAGAGACAUAAAGUUAUUCAAAGAUAACAGACAAUUAACUUGUCAAAAUAUCAAGUGAAUUUAUCUUGCAUCCUAAUAAAUCUUCCAAGACCUCA